UGAACGCUUUGGCAGACAAACUCGACUUCUCCCUCCAAAGUGAUUUCAGCAGGAGGAGGCAGGCUGUGAGCCAUUGUCAGGACAGAGCCAACAGGUGCCCAGGCCCCUGCGAGUCCCGCCUGGAGAGGGGCCUCCAGUCAGCCUGCGGCCCAGGGCGACCGGCCGGGACAGGAGGCGGCGGUGCUGAAAGCUCAGGACGACAGGGGCCUGUCGGGGCGCGCCGGUCGGCUAAACUCGUCUGUUCACUGCCAAGGGGGGGGAAACACGCCCUCCACCUCGAGAUGCCUCUUGAUUUACGCCCUUGAACAGGCCGGACGCUUGUGCAGGUUGUGCACCCUCCCUGUGCGGGGAGGCCACCGGCUCGGCCACCUCACUGCACCCACGGCCCUGCGCAGCCGGGCAGUAAAUGUGAUUUUCUGAGUUCUUUGACAGCUGGUGACAAAGGGCCAGGUCUGUUUAUUUAUGUGGAUUCUACUUCCCAUCGCGAGCGUUAGUUCUUGAAAUAUUCUGAAAUCUCUAGGCCGUCCUGUGCUUUUCCACGUCACGUGAGAGACGGUCGCGUCCCCAGAUGACUCUGAUGUGAUUCAGCGUCGCCCUGUGUGGUGCCGGUGUCCGGCCGCCUACGGGCCACCAAGGGCAGCAGAGGUCCCGCAGGCCCCGCAGCCUCACCCGACCCGGCCUGCGGGGUCCUGGACUCACAAGACCAGAACCUGGGGCUGGUCCAGAAUGUGCGGCAAAGGCCCCAGCCCAGGCCCACCCCUGGCGAGUCCGGCGUGGCUCCUGGCUGGCUGGGCGUCCAUCCGGGAACCACAGGAUUCGAAACUUCCUCCCCACCCCACUGUCCCCUGUUUGUAAAUGUGAAAACUGAGUCCAGAAGGAGGCCGUGUGUCCGAGACCGUCCGACCAAGUUCGGGACAGGGCUCUCCUGAGACCCAAGGCUGUUUCCAGGGCCUGCCAGUCACCGGGCAUCCUCUCGCCGGGCACUGGGAUGUUGCCCCAGCACCUCCGGGGGGCCCGUCUGGCCCCGGGCCCGGGGGACGGCCGCAGUGACGCCGAGUGCCUGCAGACUGCGGUUUCCAGGGAAGAGGCCUCCGGGACCCCCUCACGUCACCGAAAUCCCACCUGGAAGAACCCGGGCCCUGGCCCGACCUGCUCCGUCUGGCUCAUGUGGCUUCGGGCCAUUUGUCUUGUCUGAACGAGACAGCGGUGUGGGCCUCAGCCACCAGUCCCUGGCGUGUGGCCGUCACCCAGCCUUGGGGGGCGCCUGCAGAGCUAGCGGGGGGCCGGCUGCAGACGGGGAGGCCACCGGGUGGCCGGUGCCCUGGGCGGGCCCUCGUUCUCCACUACAAACACACGCGAGCUUUGAAUCAGUGUGCAUCUCCCUCCAGUUCGCCACCGCGGCCGCCUCCUGAUCCAUCUCACGGUGGCGGGGCUCCGGACGGUUUGAGAAAACGAAUUGGCCGAAGAGUGAACAAAUUCUGGACGAUUCACCUAAAGACCAACGUUCUAGGGUUGCCGGUGGUGUUUCUUCAUUUAUUCCAUUGCUCCUAUUGCAUACAGUUCUGAGCGAACCAAAAUGAAUAGGACGGUAAGUUUUUAUCCCCAAGAUACUCACUGGGAAACGUGACAAACCAAUAUGGUAAGAGAGGUGGUGGUAUGGGGACAAAAUAAAGGAGCCAAUUCUGCUGGGGAGUCAGAACGACCUUUGGAGAGUGGAUAUUUGAACUAGGUCUUGAAAGAAUAAGAGAUUGUGGAUGGAGACGGUAAAGAGAUACUUGCCUACGAAAGCGAACACGGUAUUUAAAGGGCACAAAAGGAUAUGCGAUCACGUGGGGUUAGAGGUGGGGAAGAGAAUUCCCGGAGAGGAAAAGUCCCACAUUUCACAGUCAAGAGGGCCCUGCGUGCAUGGCUCCCCCUUGCGUGGUGCAGUGCACAGCCUACACGCCUGCACAUGGGGGCCCUGGAGCAAGUCAGUGAGCUGAGCAAGGUCACCUCCUACAGGGACACUCAAGUCGAGACUUUAGACUGCAGACCACCGUGGCCUACCAGGGAACAUUGCUUCCACUUAACUUCUAUCUAUCAUCUCUAUCUAUCUAUGAUUUUAUUUAUUUAUUUGACAGAGAAUGAGAGAGCACAAGCAGGAGGAACCGCAGAGGGAGGAGGAGAAGCAGGCUCCAUGCCAGGACCUGGGAUCAUGGCCUGAGCCAAAGGCAGAUGCUUAGCUGACUGAGCCCCCCAGCAGGAGCCCCUGCUUUUCAGUUAACUUCUUUAAAUCUACACAAUAUAUGGAUUAUUUCUUAUUUUUAAAAAGUUCACACAAAAUAUGAAUUCAGAGCUAAACCACAAGGCCCGCCCUUUCUUUACCACCCCACAACCAUAACGGGAACUUCCUUGCCUGCUCCCAGAGGGGGCCAGUGGUCGGGUGUCCCCUCCGUGCACUGGUGUGCUCGUGAGUACACUAGCUGGAGGCGUCCUACCUGAGGGGUCGCGUCCUGCACGUUCUGCGUCCCGCUUCUCUCACCUACGGAGGUGCUGGGAAGGGCUUCCAAUCCCAAUACAAGUGGAAAUCGGUCUUGUUCUUUUUCAGGGCUACCGUGCUGGGGACUGUGGCCCCUGCCGUGGUGCCUCGUGGAUGGGCACAGCCCCUCGCAGCCUCCAGGGGACAUUCGUGCUCAGGAAGUCACGUUCCUGCAGCUCAGAGGCCUAGUAAAUGCAACGAGGUGGCGGGAGCCGGGUUCUGAGCCCGCCAGUCGCAGCGGGAGGCCCCACUCUGUAGGAGAAGAUCCCCUUACCGCUGCCCGGCUGGCUCGUCCAGCACGGGUUUGAACUGUGAGCCCCCGCAGGGCAGGGACCCGGUGGCUGACUCCCCACGUACCAAAACCACGUCCAGCACGCAGCGCCUGCCCAGCAAAAGUUCGCUGGGGGACCAGGGUGCUGAGCGCCUGUCCUCGUCUGGCUGCGGUAACAGGACGCCACAGACCCGGUGGCUUCUAAACAACGGAAAUGUGACUCUCGCAGUUCUUGGGCCUGGAAGCCCGAGGGGUAGUGUCUGCCCCGGUGAACAAAAACAAUGGAGCUCACCCCAGAAGAACGUCGACCGUUGCAUUUGGUGGCUUCCCGGCAGCUGACUGGGAUGGGCGGGACCGGGGGACGUGGACCGCGGUGGCUCGAACAGGCCCGGGCUCACGAGGGUCCCACUAAGGUCACGGGGAUGUGACGCGCGUGGCUUGCCACCCUCUUCUGAGGACCAGGAAAAAGGAACUGCAGACACCUCCUCUCUUCGCCGAGCCUCAGUGUCCUCAUCUGCAGGGGGGUGACAGGCCCUGCCCUAGUGUUCUGGGGUGAAAUGAGGGGUGAGUCUGAAAGUGCCGGGUAGGCCGCCAGGGGUCGGACAAGGGCGUCAUUGUUUCACCAUUGAGGGAUCUGACUCGACCACGGCCGUGUCCGUAGCAGGAUAAUCUCCCGAGAUACCAAUUUGGAAUUUGUUCCUACUGCCAUGUUUCCCUUUCUCCCUCUAGGUGGGUAGGCCUUUUGGGUUUCCCUGUUUCCGGAGCCCUUUGUGCAUAGGGUUGAGCACGGGAGUUUCGAGAUCGUUCUCUCUCCCUUUCUGGCCUGCCUUUGCAGAGGACUGUGCUAGCCUGGGGAGGAGGCCCCUGAGAGGCUGGGGAGCAGGAGCAGAAGGGAGGGAACCGGGGCACGGGGAGAAGGGGGCUGGAGAGGUCCUCCCAACUUAGACGAGAAGUGGCUUGGGUUCCGGCUCUUGCUCCCUACCCUCCCAGGACCCCAAAGCGGACGGAGCCUGGGUGAGCCCAGGAGCCCAUAGCGUCUGCAGAUGCUGCAGCCCAGGAGCGGGCGAGCUACCCGCCUGUACAGGCCUUGAGGUUCGAGAACAUCGGUACGACCUCUCCUCUUGCACACCUCGGGGCCUCCCAUGUGCCCGGACCCAGUGGUGCUGCGGACCCACGAGCUGGGCGCCGCUCAUCAGGAUUGGCUUAUUCAGAGAACGGUCAUGUGGCAUUUCUUUCAUGCCCACGUUACGGAGUGACACCCAUUACCCACUCCCCGGGGAACAGGACGCCAGACAAAUGCCUUUGGACAAGAAAGUGAGGUGAACAACAAUAUCCGGAAGAGGCAUGUCCUGAAGGAGCCAGUAGACGUCAGGAAACCGUUGUCCUGUCUUUACCUCCGGCACCAACGAGCUCUGUGACCUUCCCUAAAGCCACUUCCCCAUCUGCGCCUCCGUCUAUAUCUUGGUUGAGUGGGGGGAACUGGGCGGCUUUCCCGGUCCACGUUACUGCAAACCGGGAGUGGACUUGGGAACCGCGAAACCGUGGUCUGCACCGAGGCGGCAGUCGGGAGGCUGUUCCGGUCUUGCCACCUGCUGCGGCAAAGACGACCGACGUCGGAAAGGCAGCUCCUGCUGUCGCAGGGCACAGCCCGAGGAAAUGCGGCACUAGGUCCGCCACCGCGGAAACGACGCUGUCGUGCGCUCGUGGUCUCUCUGUUGGGACUUUGGUCUUUGUGGUAACGUGUGUGUCCUGGGAUUUUUGUUUAAAAAGAAAAAAUAAGUGCCUGUGAAAAAAAAACCCAACCCCUCCAUAACCAGCUCAUCUUUCACCGGGGCUGGAGCAGCGCACACAUGACCGCGUGGGGCUCCUUGUUUAUGUUUUCUCAAUGACUUCCAGAUCACAUCCGCUGUGUUUACAAGACGGAGACACUUCUCUAACCGCCGGUCCUGCAAGCCCAGACGGGGGUGGCCGGGGUGACGCCCAGCUGGGAUGUCUCGGCCUCCGGUUCUCCCGGUGUCCGGCUCCGUCUCCACGGACGCCCCCGCGGGAAGUGCCUGUAGACACCAGCUUUCCGGACUCCAGUCGAACCAACAUGUCAGAUUAUUUUUUUUUAAAGAUUUAUUUAUUUAUUCAUUCAGAGAGAGCGAGAGAGAGGCAGAGACACAGGAAGAGGGAGAAGCAGGCUCCAUGCAGGGAGCCCGAAGCAGGACUCGAUCCCGGGACUCCAGGAUCACACCCCGGGCUGAAGGUGGCACUAAACCGCUGCGCCACCAGGGCUACCCCCAACAUGUUAGAUUAUUAUUAUUAUUAUUUUAAACUGUAAGCCUCAGGCCCAGGGUCGGACCCUGACUGCAGAGGUCAUCUUCCCCGACCCGCGCUCGGCAACUGCUCUCCUUUGCCUCAUGCCUCUCCUGAUUCUUGCCAGACCCACAGCCCCCGAAUCUCAUUCUGUGGUUUCGUAAUAGUGUCCCCCUACCUGCCGGGGGUCCCUGGCUGGCCAGGGCCCGCAGGCCAUCUGCUGAGGUGCCCAUCAGGGUCCACACAGUCCAAACUGAGCCUCUGAAUCUUUUAGCUUGAAAUAUAUGUGCGAGUAUGUAUCCCUGUGAAGCAAGCAUUUCACUUCAAUCCGCCACAUCGGCUGUCCAGGGCUUCUAGGGACGCACUAUGACCGUGGAGCCGCCCCCCGCAGCUGUCACAGUGUCCUCGCGGGGCCUUUGUUGGCGGGCAGCGGGGGUCUGUGUCCGGGGUGGCGGGAACAGGAGACCCACUGGCUUCACAGUCAGGAGCUACUGGGCAGCAGCACGGCCUGGCUGUGUGACCUUGGCCCGGCGGCCUCUGAUGCCCCGUUUCCUGCUCUGCCCUUUGCUCCCCGGGGCUGAGCUGCAGGACCACACGCCAGGCGCGAGCGGAUAUUGAACCUAAUAAACCGCCACGGCAGCGGAGGAAAAAGUUCCCGAGCAUCAGGCUCAAGGUCCUCGGGGAAGCGGCCCAGGAGGAUGGGGAUGCCGUCUGUUGCUAUGCAACUGGGGUAUUUGGAAAAACAAGUCUAAAAAAAACUUGCAUUAAUCACCAGCAGCCCUGAAGGCAGACACGAGGUGCGUGGGCCGAGCUGCUGCCUGGGCUCGGCCGAGGUCGGGGCGUCCCUGUCCCCACAGGCCUGGCCGGCUGGUGGCAGGGGGCCCUCGGGCCUGGCGGGCUUGCGGGGCUCAGGCUGCUUGCAGGAGCCGGGGUGGGGGGGACCAGAGGCCAGGAAGGGAGGCAGCUCCCCACGCUUCUGUUGCAGGGGUUUCUGGAAAUGAGUAAGCAGAGCAGUCGCAUUACCAGGACACGCAGAGCUCCAUCGACUUUAGCGACUGUUCCCACCAGAGGUCUUGAUUCCACCCACAACAGGCAUCCAGGCCCACGCCUCCCGCUUGCGCAGACCACACGCGCGUGUGGUCUCCGCUUGCCUACCUUUGUUCCUCUUUCCUUUCUUCCUCCCUCCUUCCUUUCAUUCUUUCCUCCUUCUCUUUUUUUUUCCUUUUUUCUUUCUUUUCAUUGUGUCUUGUACGCUAUUAAAGGUCUUUUUCUU